GUGGGGAAUAUUGCACAAUGGGCGCAAGCCUGAUGCAGCGACGCCGCGUGGGGGAUGACGGCCUUCGGGUUGUAAACUCCUUUCGUUAGGGACGAAGCCACAUUUUUUUGGGUGUGGUGACGGUACCUUUGUUAAGAAGCACCGGCUAACUACGUGCCAGCAGCCGCGGUAAUACGUAGGGUGCGAGCGUUGUCCGGAAUUACUGGGCGUAAAGAGCUCGUAGGUGGUUUGUUGCGUCGUCUGUGAAAUUCCGGGGCUUAACUUCGGGGUGGCAGGCGAUACGGGCAUAACUAGAGUGCUGUAGGGGAGACUGGAAUUCCUGGUGUAGCGGUGGAAUGCGCAGAUAUCAGGAGGAACACCGAUGGCGAAGGCAGGUCUCUGGGCAGUAACUGACGCUGAGGAGCGAAAGCAUGGGGAGCGAACAGGAUUAGAUACCCUAGUAGUCC
rnacentral:rRNA from 1 species